rnacentral:misc_RNA from 1 species
AAGAGCAAUACGAAUACAACGCCCAAUUUACAGUGGCUUCAAGUUUUGAACUUCUGAAUUAAAGGAACAUGAAAAUAAUAAUAACAAUAAUAAUAAAGGUAUAAGCUAACAAAGAGAGAACAGAAAUAGGUUAAGCCAUCUAGAAUAUCGGGAGGAUAGAAAAGGGGUAGCUCAUUAACACACCCCUACGUCUUGCAUAAGGAGCCUUCUAAAUUUUGAGAAGCUUCCCA